UACGUAGGGGGCUAGCGUUAUCCGGAAUUACUGGGCGUAAAGGGUGCGUAGGUGGUUUCUUAAGUCAGAGGUGAAAGGCUACGGCUCAACCGUAGUAAGCCUUUGAAACUGGGAAACUUGAGUGCAGGAGAGGAGAGUGGAAUUCCUAGUGUAGCGGUGAAAUGCGUAGAUAUUAGGAGGAACACCAGUUGCGAAGGCGGCUCUCUGGACUGUAACUGACACUGAGGCACGAAAGCGUGGGGAGCAAUCAGG
rnacentral:rRNA from 1 species